AGCAGCCGCGGUAAUUCCAGCUCCAAUAGCGUAUAUUAAAGUUGUUGCAGUUAAAAAGCUCGUAGUUGAAUUUCGGGAUUGACACAUCGGUCGUGCCUUAAGGGGUAUGAACUGGUGUAGUCAAUUUCUCACCUUCUGGAGAACCGCGAUGCCCUUAAUUGGGUGUCACGGGGAACCAGGACCUUUACUUUGAAAAAAUUAGAGUGUUUAAAGCAGGCAUUUUGCUUGAAUACAUUAGCAUGGAAUAAUAAAAUAGGACGGCAUGAUUCUAUUUUGUUGGUUUUAGGAUCACCGUAAUGAUUAAUAGGGAUAGUUGGGGGCAUUAGUAUUCAAUUGUCAGAGGUGAAAUUCUUGGAUUUAUUGAAGACUAACUACUGCGAAAGCAUUUGCCAAGGAUGUUUUCAUUAAUCAAGAACGAAAGUUAGGGGAUCGAAGACGAUCAGAUACCGUCGUAGUCUUAACCAUAAACUAUGCCGACUAGGAAUCAGACGAUGUUAAUUUUUUAAUGACUCGUUUGGCACCUUACG
rnacentral:rRNA from 1 species